GCCUCGGUGGCGCAGAGGGCAGCGUGUAAGUUUCGUAAUCUUACGGACGUGAGUUCGAAUCUCACCCGAGGCA